CACGUAGUUAGCCGGUGCUUUUUCUGCAGGUACCGUCACUUUCGCUUCUUCCCUACUAAAAGAGGUUUACAACCCGAAGGCCGUCGUCCCUCACGCGGCGUUGCUGCAUCAGGCUUUCGCCCACUGUGCAAUAUUCCCCACUGCUGCCUCCCGUAGGAGUCUGGGCCGUGUCUCAGUCCCAGUGUGGCCGGUCACCCUCUCAGGCCGGCUACCCGUCGUCGCCUUGGUGAGCCAUUACCUCACCAACAAGCUGAUAGGCCGCGAGUCCAUCCUUGACCAAAAUUCUUUCCACCUACAGACGAUGCCGUCAUAGGUCAUAUCCGGUAUUAGACGUCGUUUCCAACGCUUAUCCCAGAGUCAAGGGCAGGUUACUCACGUGUUACUCACCCGUUCGCCACUAAUCCGGAGGAAGCAAGCUCCCUCGUUCAUCGUUCGACUUGCAUGUGUUAAGCACGCCGCCAGCGUUCGUCCUCGUAGCCACGGAUCAAACCUACUA
rnacentral:rRNA from 1 species